rnacentral:ncRNA from 1 species
UGGUGGGGCCGAGUUGGAGUUUAGUUGGUUAAGUCUCGCAACGAGCGCAACCCUCGUGUUUAGUUGCCACUAUGAGUUUGGAACCCUGAACAGACCGCCGGUGUUAAGCCGGAGGACGGAGAGGAUGAGACCAAGUCAUCA